UACGAAGGGGGCUAGCGUUGCUCGGAAUUACUGGGCGUAAAGGGCACGUAGGCGGAUGUUUAAGUCGGGGGUGAAAGCCCGGGGCUCAACCUCGGAAUUGCCUUCGAUACUGGACAUCUUGAGUACGGGAGAGGUGAGUGGAACUCCGAGUGUAGAGGUGAAAUUCGUAGAUAUUCGGAAGAACACCAGUGGCGAAGGCGACUCACUGGCCCGUUACUGACGCUGAGGCGCGAAAGCGUGGGGAGCAAACAGG
rnacentral:rRNA from 1 species